rnacentral:rRNA from 1 species
UACGUAGGGAGCAAGCGUUGUCCGGAAUCAUUGGGCGUAAAGAGCGCGUAGGUGGCCACAUAAGUCCGUUGUGAAAGUCAAAGGCUCAACCUUUGAAAGCCGAUGGAUACUGUGUGGCUAGAGUACGGAAGAGGCGAGUGGAAUUCCUGGUGUAGCGGUGGAAUGCGCAGAUAUCAGGAGGAACACCAAUAGCGAAGGCAGCUCGCUGGGACGUUACUGACACUGAGGCGCGAAAGCGUGGGGAGCGAACAGG